CUAGAGAUUCCUACGGGAGGCAGCAGUGGGGAAUAUUGCACAAUGGGCGCAAGCCUGAUGCAGCCAUGCCGCGUGUGUGAAGAAGGCCUUCGGGUUGUAAAGCACUUUCAGUCGUGAGGAAGGUGGUGUAGUUAAUAGCUGCAUUAUUUGACGUUAGCGACAGAAGAAGCACCGGCUAACUCCGUG
rnacentral:rRNA from 1 species